UAUGCCCAUACAAGGAAUAUUAUCUGAACAAAAUUCUUGUGAGAAACAAAGAAAUUCAGAUAAAGGCUUGAAAGCAAAACUUAAUCAUGAUGAUGAAGAAACUCUCAUUUUAGAAUUCCAGUUACAAGAACCUCUUUAAAAAACUUUGAUAAACUUCCAUUAUCACUACGCAACAUAAAAAUUACAAAAAAUUUAUGGCAAGAAGUAACAAAUGCUUUAAAUAAGAAAAUUACAGCCAGUGAAAAUAAAAUUUAAAAGCUUACAUGAUACACACCGAAUAAUUAAAUCAGAAACUAGCGCCAGUGGAUCUACUCGAAAAAAUAAUGGAAAUAAAUGGCUUCAUUACGACUCAAUGGAAUUUUUAUGAUAUUCUUGCUUGUUGAAAACCACCAUGAGUAAUAUUGAUAUAAAUGAUUUUGAAGAUAAUGUUAAACAUUGAAUCAAAUAGUGGGCCUCGCAAGAAAAGAAAGAAGAGUAAUUCUGGAAAGUCUGUCAAGGCAAUAGAUAAAAUUGCAAAUGUAUUGUGCAACGAUAACGAUAUACUUAUUAAUCUUCCACCUAUUCCAGUUCCAAAUGAAAUCAAUUCGUUUUUGUUAAUAUUAGGAUGUCAGCUGCGAGAAUUGGCUUUACGCAAACGG